CAGGGAAUAGUUAAUCAGAACGUC
rnacentral:tRNA from 1 species